GACAACGUGGCGGAGUGGUUAACGCGAUGCCCUGCUAAGGCAUUCCUCUACGAGGGCGCAGGUUCGAACCCUGCCGUUGUCG